AGAUGAAAAGUAACAAAACUGUAAUCAAAGAAAACUUCUUCUGAAUUCUUUUUUUAAUUACGAACCUGGUUUUUCCCAUUUCUCUUAAAAGAUUGCUAAGGACAGGCGAAGCGAAAUGAACAUACAUGUGACAAUGCAUAUGACAAUCAUUGUGAUAAUUGUAAAAAAUAGUUACUUUAAAUGCUGAUGGAAACCAACACUUUUUAUGAUGCAAUGUAACGGCAAUUAUCUUGAGUAAACUAAAACAAAAAAAACUUUUAUGAUUCUAUUCGAAAACUCAAUACGCCUCAUUGGAAAAAAAACUUGUUAUUUAUUAUGACCAAGAUGCCGCGCGGGAACGAGAAAAAAUACCUUCAAUUCCUUGAGUUAUAUAAAAAAGCAUAUUCAACACUUGAAAAACAAAAGCAGUAUCAGCAAGCACAAGAGUUGUGGAAAAUAGUAAAAAACAAUGAAUCCUUGUAUGAAAAAAAAAUAAAUGAGUUAAAAGAGAAAGUAACAAAGUCGAAAGUAUCACUUAUGUCAUUCUGGGGAAAUACCAUUUCACCACCUAGCAAAAAGAAAAAAGAUAUCCAUCCAGCGCCGUCUUCGUCAAAUGAAACACGAAGUUUCCUAAAUGCAACUACGACAGAGCCUGCAAGGAUUGAAAUUA